GCAACAUCAAAGGCCCUGAAAGAACUAGUGCUGUAAUAGGAAACAUUUGCCUUUGAGGACUCUUUUUGCUUCUGGUCGCUUAUUUUUUUCCUCUUUCUUUUUUUUUUCCCUCCUCUAUUAAAACACAGCAGCUGAGCAAUGAAAGGAGCAUGGGGUAGGGUGAGCUGGAUGGGCAACAAGGAGGGAUAUGGAGGGGUAGCUGAAUUUGUGUGGGAUUGCACAACUUCCCUCCUGCCCCCUUCACACAGAGUUUGCAUCAGUGGUUGUGUUUGUUGGACAACCAAAGCAAGGCUGGAAGCUCAGCUUCGUGUCUUUAGCUGAGGAGUUAGUGCACAGGAUUGUCAACUUCUGUCAAGCUUGUCCUAGGUGUGGGCAAAACUCUUCCUGUGGGCAGAGCGGGAAUGAGAGGGAAAUUAAGGGUGUGGGAGUGGGACAGAGGUGCCCCAGAAGCUCUGGGCACUCUGGGAGAGCACGAGGGAGCUGGUGGGACAAGGGACUGUAGAUAAAGCACCGUAAGUGAGCAGGGGGAGGAAUGUCACCCAGCAGGAAGGACUCGACCUGGCAGCAGGCUGGCGCACACACUCGGUGUGAAGAAUGAGAUGGUUUUCCUGCAGUGCCGGGAUUAUCCUUGUUGCCAACAGAAGGCUCACGCUGAGGGGGAAAGGUUGUGGUAUAGCUGAAUGUAGACAGCAACCUGCCCCAGCCACAUCCUACAGCCUGCGCCUCUCUGGGUGUGUUUUUGGGGAAGUAGCAGAACUUUUUCGGCCUUGCUUUACAUUGGCAACAAAGAACAUCGAGCAUGAAGGACACAGAGCGAGCCUCAGUGCCAGCGAACAGCGCAUCCCCGACUGUGCUGGGAGCUUUGGACCAGCUGCGGGAAGUUUGUGGGGCUCUGGAUGGCCACGGGAUGGCGUCUCGUGGCUUGCAAAGCACAGGACGGCGCUGGGUGAGCAGUGGUAACACUGCCUGAGGUGCUCUGAACUGCACUCACUCUGCAGCUUCUGUUGCUAGAAGCUUCUAAUGUUUUCUUCCUUUUCACUUACGAGGUAAACUCUUAAUUUCAGAGUUAACACUAACUUCCCAGAGUGAAGGCUUCAUGGUAAUAACCUCAAAGCUGAUUUAAAAAAUGGUUCUCUGUGGCUGUAAGGAUAAUGCAGUCCCAUGCUAGAGGGGACUUGGAUCAAAUUUACUGACAACCUGAAAUGAAUGAAUAGGCCCUACUUACAGCAAGACAGCUUUCCUAGGAGUACAUUGCACACUGGCUGUUUUCCCAGCCCCGUGGAUCCUUUCAGGAGCCUGCUGUGGCAUGUUUUGGUUGGGUUUGGGGUAUUGCAGUGUACAAGCUGGGUUUUUUCCCAAGUGCUGAUGCUGCAGUGUUCCCAUCAGACUGCAUGCAGAAAGCAUCUUCCUGUUUUUUAUCCAAAUGAGCACACACAGACCUGGAUCUUGGAGAAUGUACUGCAGCUUCAGUUCUGCAACCUGCAGCACACGGGGAAUGUCUGCCUGCAUGGAGAGUGUCCACCCAUGGAGCCCUGUUCUGCUGCCCUGUCCAGCUAACUUCAUGUGGCAACCAUGAAAGUGUGGAAGUGUGCUCUGAGGAACUGGCCCAGAGGAAGCGACUGCACUCGUGGCUCAGCAGCCCUGGCAGGAAACAGCAGGUCAAAGUUAGAAGGAACUUACUUAAAAGCUAAAGAGUGAGUGGUGCAGCAAGCACUGCAAGAAAGCAGGACUCAACAGUCAGUGGGGGAGCUUGGGAUUCUCUGUUUCAGUCCUUAUUCCACUUCCUCUUUUCUUGUUCGCUUCUGUUUAACCAGAGAGAUGCCAAGGUGAUGAUCUGUCAGGUGAGAAUUUGUAGGUGAGACUCUGCCCUCUCCUGAUCUGAGCACAGUUCCCUCUGGAAAAUGGGGCCAGUGCAGAAAACACGCUGUUUAAUCUUCCUCAGUAUGUUUUUAUGAAAUGAAAUUAAAUCCUCACGACUCUGUAUUUCAGCUUGUCAGAUAAUGUCUUUUUUCAGACAUGUGUAAGGUCAGUAGUCACAAAUAUAGCAGCCUGGAACUGCAGGGUUUGACCAUUCUGCACAAAAUGUGGUAUAAUACAGUGGCGGAAACAGGAACAUAUAUUGCUCCUGCCUGAUGACAGCAGAGGUUUUUUCCUAGGUAGGCUUUGGGAAGCCCUCCUUGGUGCAGUUUUCGAAGGGCAUGAGGUCACAUCACCCUGUAAGCAGACUUACAUUUUGGAGUGUAUCUGUGCCGUGAGUUGGUCUGGGUUUUUUUACUCCUCCUUUGGUAUUGGAAUUGAAAAUUCAAGUUGGAGAAAUGUGAAAGCAAUUGGGCCUAAUCCAUUCCUGUUGUUACUCCUUUUGUUUUCACUGGAGUUACUCCAAGGCUGAAUUCAGCAUAUGAUGAACAACUUGUUCUCCAAAGCUGGAACUUAGGGAAGAAGGUUUUAGGGAUGAUCACGCAACUCUGGGGCUCCUUCUCAAACAGCUGAAGCUCCCACAAGAGGGACGAUAUUUGGAUGAACCAGUCCUCACUGCUGGUUAAUUCCUCCUGUGUUCCUGUGAGCUGUUGGAGGGGUCAUGGCAGAGGCAAGAUCCCCAUGGUAAAAUCAAGUUUUUCCUUCUUGGAGAAAUAACCAUUACUGUCUCUCUGGCUCACUCCAUUUCAUUUACUUUCUAAACAACUUAGAUCACAAAGGACUCCAGGAGGGGUGCAGCACUUCCAAAGAAAAGGCCUGGGUUACUUUCUCCAAUUUAAGACAAUCUUAUGAAGGUUGUGCUUCCUGCCCUUGCCCAGAGAAGAGGAUUUAUGACAGAUGCUUCUGCAGCCUGCAUGGGGUGAUUUGGAAGGUGGAGGGUGCACCAGUCUCGCUGUGCUUCGGAGGCCAGGGCAGCUUUCUGCUGAACAAUACAAAUCCUGGCUGACAAACAGAAAAUCCGGGAGCCCAGCUGACACAGAUUCCCUUCUUGCACAAGCUCUGGUGUGUUGGGGCACAUCUCCUCAGCAGCUUUGUUCAGGCAGUUUCCAGUGCCACAGCCAUGGUGCGAGAUUGUUGUGCCAGAUGCACCAAAUGGACACCUAGGACCCCGAUAUCAUACUGAGAAAAGGUGCUGGGCUGUGAUUCCAGGAUUCCAGCUUUUGCUGUGAAUCCCACCACAUGUGCAUGUCUGGAAGCCUGUGUCAGCAAUGGUGGGACAGCUCUGCAAUACACAGCUAGAAAGCGUUCCUCUUGCAAUGCUGUCUUGCUUUUUAUUCUAUUCCUCCCUUUAUUCUAUUCCUCCUGUCACUGCCAAUGCAGCAGUGGAUAUGCUUCUACAGAAGGGGUUGUUCUCUGCCCUUGUCCAUGCACAGAUUUAAGAUACCCCUUUUCAAUGACAAACAGGAAUUGGAAAAAGCAGUAAGAUAAAAAAUUAAAUAUAAAUGUAUUUAUGAGAUUACUUAAAGUGCAUGUUUCUUACUAUUUUGUGAGGAUUCUGCCUGACACCGGCAUGAGGGCGAUUGCCUGGGAGAGAGACAGGCAGGGAUGAGAAAGGAAACAGCUGUGAUCCCUUUUUGGAGCAAUUGCUCUUAUCCAUCCCCUUAGAUGUAUCCCAAUGUAAAUAACCUUUCAGAUCACUUUACAAAGUGAUUGCUAAGUGGGGCUGAGGAGAAGGAAUUCUGUAAUGUAAUAAUUUCUGUCUUCUCUCUUCAUUUUCCUGCUUGGUCAUAGACAGGAAAUGUGGCUGGUUGUUAAUUUGAAAGCAUUUGUAGUGGUGAAGGCAUAAUAGAUAUGAAAGUUCACAAGACUCUGACAACUGCCAAUG